GACGAACGCUGGUGGCGUGCCUAAUACAUGCAAGUCGAGCGGACCAAUAGAAGCUUGCUUCUGUUGGUUAGCGGCAGACGGGUGAGUAACACGUGGGCAACCUGCCUGUAAGACUGGGAUAACUUCGGGAAACCGGAGCUAAUACCGGAUAAUUCAUCCCCUCGCAUGAGGGGAUGCUGAAAGUCGGUUUACGCUGACACUUACAGAUGGGCCCGCGGCGCAUUAGCUAGUUGGUGAGGUAAUGGCUCACCAAGGCGACGAUGCGUAGCCGACCUGAGAGGGUGAUCGGCCACACUGGGACUGAGACACGGCCCAGACUCCUACGGGAGGCAGCAGUAGGGAAUCUUCCACAAUGGACGAAAGUCUGAUGGAGCAACGCCGCGUGAGCGAUGAAGGCCUUCGGGUCGUAAAGCUCUGUUGUUAGGGAAGAACAAGUAUCGGAGUAACUGCCGGUACCUUGACGGUACCUAACCAGAAAGCCACGGCUAACUACGUGCCAGCCGCCGCGGUAAAAC
rnacentral:rRNA from 1 species